rnacentral:rRNA from 1 species
UUAGUAAUGGCGAAUGAACAGGGAAAAGCCCAGCACCGAAGCCUGUGGCCAUUUGGUUACUAGGCAAUGUGGUGUUUAGGUCGUUCCGCAGAGGUACCGCUCCACCCUAAGUCCAGCAAUGAGUACGGCUUUAUGGACGUGGCCCAUAGAGGGUGAAAGGCCCGUGGGGGUGGAGACUCGGCAUGACGGUAUUUCUCUGGGUAGACCUUGGAGUCGGGUUGUUUGUGAAUGCAGCCCAAAGUGGGUGGUAAACUCCAUCCAAGGCUAAAUACUAGCACGAGUCCGAUAGCGAACAAGUACCGUGAGGGAAAGUUGAAAAGUACUUUGAAGAGAGAGUAAACAGUGCGUGAAACCGCUCAGAGGUAAACGGGUGGAGUUGAACUGCAAGCUUUGCGGAUUCAGCUGGUGAGUAUGAUUUGAGCUUGGUCAAAUUGAUCGAGCUACGGGGUCUGCGUAUGUGCAGGUCUUUGUCUUUUGGCAGAGAUGCGCGAUGCACCUAACAAGUGCUGUGCGCCUCGGAGCAUCGGGUCGACUCGCCAGUGCACUUUCGCAGAGUAUUCACCACGACCGGCAUUGUCGUCUGACUGUUGCGGUUAAACCGACCUUGCAUUGUCCUUGUGGCUUUGCCUGGUCGGGAUGGCAGGUAGCUCGUUGGCGAUUCGUAGCUUGCUGCGGUUGCUUUCGGGUGUAAUCAGCUGACUGUGAUGGUUCUGUGCGGUAUGUCGGAGACGGCGGCUUAUGGUGUGUGCGUGCGUGCCAGUUUCGUGAGCUUAUCCGUUUCUGAUUGUCAUGUUGCCUGCGUAAAGUAGGCCUGGCAGUGUUGCGGGUUUGUCUUGCGGACGGUUGCGUAUGUGUCACUAUUCAGGGCCAAUAGUCUGUGGUGUAGUGGUAGACGAUCCACCUGACCCGUCUUGAAACACGGACCAAGGAGAGUAACAUGUGCGCGAGUCAUUGGGCGAAACGAAACCCAAAGGCGCAGUGAAAGUGAAGGCUUGGCUUGUCCUUGCUGAGGUGAGAUCCUGCCGUUUCUCAUGCGCGGUACUACCAAGCAUCGAGCGGUGGGCGCAUCACCGGCCCGUCCCAUGACGUAGACACAUAGUCUUCGGACCAGUGCACCGUCGGGGCGGAGCAUGAGCGUACAUGUUGAGACCCGAAAGAUGGUGAACUAUGCUUGCGCAGGUUGAAGCCAGAGGAAACUCUGGUGGAGGACCGCAGCGAUUCUGACGUGCA